GUCGAGAAUUUUGGGCAAUGGACGAAAGUCUGACCCAGCAAUGCCGCGUGCGGGAUGAAGGUCUUCGGAUUGUAAACCGCUGUCAAGAGGGACGAAACAUGACGGUACCUCUGGAGGAAGCCACGGCUAACUACGUGCCAGCAGCCGCGGUAAUACGUAGGUGGCGAGCGUUGUUCGGAUUUAUUGGGCGUAAAGGGUCCGCAGGUGGUUGGAUAAGUUUGACGUGAAAUCCCAGAGCUCAACUCUGGAACUGCGUUGAAAACUGUCUGACUGGAGUAUCGGAGAGGAGAUUGGAAUUCCAGGUGUAGCGGUGGAAUGCGUAGAUAUCUGGAAGAACACCGAAAGCGAAGGCAGAUCUCUGGACGAUAACUGACACUCAGGGACGAAAGUAUGGGGAUCAAACAGG
rnacentral:rRNA from 1 species